rnacentral:rRNA from 1 species
AUUGAACGCUGGCGGCGUGCUUAACACAUGCAAGUCGAUCGGUAACAGGUGUAGCAAUACAUGCUGACGAGAGGCGGACGGGUGAGUAAUGCUUGGGAAUCUGCCUAUUAGUGGGGGACAACCCGGGGAAACUCGGGCUAAUACCGCAUACGCUCUACGGAGGAAAGCCGGGGACCGCAAGGCCUGGCGCUAAUAGAUGAGCCCAAGUCGGAUUAGCUAGUUGGAGGGUAACGGCCUACCAAGGCGACAAUCCGUAGCUGGUCUGAGAGGACGACCAGCCACACCGGAACUGAGACACGGUCCGGACUCCUACGGGAGGCAGCAGUGGGGAAUAUUGGACAA